GACAGAGGAGCCAAGCGUUGUCCGGAUUGACUGGGCGUAAAGCGUCCGCAGGCGGCUGGGCACGUGGGGUGUGAAACCGCUCGGCUUAACCGAGCGCCGCCACCUCAUACGGCCCGGCUCGAGCGUGGGAGAGGUCUGUGGAAUUGCCGGUGUAGUGGUGAAGUGCGUAGAGAUCGGCAGGAACACCGGUGGCGAAGGCGGUUCUCUGGGCAUGAUCUGACGCUGAGGAGCGAAAGUGUGGGGAGCAAACAGG
rnacentral:rRNA from 1 species